rnacentral:rRNA from 1 species
ACGAACGUUGGCGGCGUGGAUUAGGCAUGCAAGUCGAACGAAUCCCACCUGGGUAACUGGGUGGGGGAAGUGGCGAAAGGGGCAGUAAGGCGUAGGUAACCUACCCGGGGGACGGGGAUAGCCCUUCUAACGAAGGGGUAAUACCCGGCGAUCUGGCGAGAAGACAUCUUCUUACCAGGAAACGAGUUUCGCCUCCGGAGGGGCUUACGUGGUAUUAGCUUGUUGGCGGGGGUAACGGCCCACCAAGGCCAAGAUGCCUAGCGGGUGUGAGAGCACGACCCGCGCCACUGGCACUGAGACACUGGCCAGACUCCUACGGGAGGCUGCAGUCGAGGAUCUUCGGCAAUGGGCGCAAGCCUGACCGAGCGACGCCGCGUGUGCGAUUGAAGGCCUUCGGGUUGUAAAGCACUGUCGAGGGGGAGGAACGCCCGCAAGGGCCUGACCUAUCCCUGGAGGAAGCACGGGCUAAGUUCGUGCCAGCAGCCGCGGUAAGACGAACCGUGCGAACGUUGUUCGGAAUCACUGGGCUUAAAGGGCGCGUAGGCGGGCAUCCAAGUCGGUGGUGAAAUCCUCCAGCCCAACUGGAGAAGAGCUGUCGAUACUGGGUGCCUCGAGGGGUGCAGGGGUCUGCGGAACUUCGGGUGGAGCGGUGAAAUGCGUAGAGAUCCGAAGGAACGCCGGUGGCGAAAGCGGCGGACUGGGCACCUUCUGACGCUGAGGCGCGAAAGCCAGGGGAGCAAACGGGGUUAGAUACCCCGGUAGUCCUGGCCCUAAACGAUGGGUACUAGGUUGGAGGCUUACAUGGGCUUCCAGCCGGAGCAAAAGUGUUAAGUACCCCGCCUGGGGAGUAUGGUCGCAAGGCUGAAACUCAAAGGAAUUGACGGGGGCCCGCACAAGCGGUGGAGCAUGUGGUUUAAUUCGACGCAACGCGAAGAACCUUACCAGGACUUGACAUCGAGUGACAGCUCAAGAGAUUGAGCCUUCCCUUCGGGGACACGAAGACAGGUGGUGCAUGGUUGUCGUCAGCUCGUGUCGUGAGAUGUUGGGUUAAGUCCCGCAACGAGCGCAACCCCUAUUGUUAGUUGCCAGCAGGUAGAGCUGGGCACUCUAGCGAGACUGCCGUGGACAACACGGAGGAAGGUGGGGAUGACGUCAAAUCAUCAUGCCCCUUAUGUCCUGGGCUACACACGUGCUACAAUGGACGGUACAAAGGGCAGCGAAGCCGCGAGGUGGAGCCAAUCCCAUAAAGCCGUUCUCAGUUCGGAUUGUAGGCUGCAACUCGCCUACAUGAAGUCGGAAUCGCUAGUAAUCGCAGGUCAGCACACUGCGGUGAAUACGUUCCCGGGCCUUGUACACACCGCCCGUCACACCACGAAAGUCUGCAACACCCGAAGCCGGUGAGCUAACUCGCAAGAGAGGCAGCCGUCUAAGGUGGGACC